UACGUGGGACACAAGCGUUAUCCGGUGUGAUUGGGCGUAAAGAGUGUGUAGGCGGUCUGGUAAGUCUUGUUUUAAAUCAUAUGGCUCAACCAUAUUUCAGGACAAGAUACUGUCAGUCUAGAAUUAUCUUUAGGGAAAUCGGAAUUCACCGAGGAGUAGUGAAAUGCGUUGAUACGGUGAAGAACACCAGUGGCGAAGGCGGAUUUCUGGAAGGUAAUUGACGCUGAGACACGAAAGCUGGGGGAGCGAACCGG
rnacentral:rRNA from 1 species